CUGACAGCAGCAGGAGCGAAACGCCGGCGUUGCACAGCGGUGUCACAGAGCCACCGCGCUGCGAUCACUUCGGCGACACAAUCCAAAUUUGUCGGACAUCUCAUUCUGUGCUGGAAACACUGGGAGGCAGGAAGUUUGAAAAAACGGCCACUGCCGCCCGCAAUGUCUCGGUCGUGGGCUGGUCGUGGGUUCGUUAUGCCAGUUGUGCGUCAUUCUAAGCCGUUCUGUACAUUUAUACUGGAUAUUAAUUGGAGUCAUUUAGCUGUGCUGAUGCUGUUUGCCGUGUGUUUUGCAUCAGUGCUUCGUGACAUCGGCUGUAUUGCGUGUUUUCGCCGACGGCUUACUACCACAAUGGCGGGAUCUGCGUUCGCCGCCUUCGUGUCUCGGUGCGUCUUUGUACGUCGCACGUUCGGAUAACACUUUUUCCGACAGCUGGACAUCCUUCUUGUACCUUGGCGCUAGCUGGAUGACGGGACAUCAUGAUCAGUGUAUUGCUUGCCUAUGUCUACAAGAACCGUCACGCGUGGCCUGUGACAGCAAGCUUUUGUGGGCAGCAAGUGCUCUCCUACGAAGGCUGGCCUACUCUGGCAGCGGCGGCAAUCAUCUUCAAGAUUUAUCCAUAAUCACCUUUGCUGCUUUUUGUCACUCUUGUUUACACUUUCUGCGUCUUUUCUAAUUUAUUAGGUAAUAAAGUAUGAGUAUGUGA